rnacentral:tRNA from 2 species
UGCCUGGUGGUGUAAUGGCAACACAGAGGUUUUUGGAGCCUUUAUUCUAGGUUCGAGUCCUAGCCGGGCAG